rnacentral:miRNA from 1 species
CAUGUGGAGUGUAUGUGUGUGUGUGUGUGUACAUAUAUAUAUAUAUAUAUAUAUAUAUAUACACACACACAUACACACACACACAA